UUUAAAUCCUGUUUUUCCCACUUACUAUUCUGGUCAGAUAUCCCAUGAAGCAGUGGGUAGGAGGACAGGAAAAAGC
ensembl:miRNA MIR8060 microRNA 8060